CCAAUUAUCGAAAUUAUGCCGACAAAAUGUAAAUUGUUUUCUUGGAGUGCAUACAAGCCAUCAAUAAACGCAGAUUACUACACAUCACAUCAUCUACAUUCUCUCGCAUACUACAAGCAAAUCGAUCAAAACUGCUUCGAUCUCCAAUACCCGCACAGUCGCAAUACACGGAGCCAGAUAAUAUUGAGCCGACUGGUGGACCUGAAACAAAAGCAUGCUCCAGAGUGCUCUGUAUAGUCGAUGCAAAUGGUUGCCUGCCUAGUGCGAGUUAAGUGCAUGUUAAAUCCAAAAGUGCAUCAAACAAAGCAUGUCCUUACUGAUGGUGCAAAUUAGGAUCACGAAUAACUGAAGGUGAAUGCACCAUGUGCUGACCACGUGCCAGUGGUCAAUGAUCAAUACCAUCUCGCACAAACAGGAACCACAUAGGCCAGAUUACGAGUUCUAGACAUCAUUCGGCCCAAACGAAACGGAACGCCGCACAAAAUAGUGUCUGCUGGCAAACCCCGUGAAGCUUGAACAAGCUGAGCCAUUUCCCAACAUAAGGGCGACAAGGCCUUCAACAGAAGGCCUUUUAUUUGCAGCCCACCAAUAUAUUGGCUCUACCACGGCAGCUACCAUCCAUUCCUUGCCGUCCAGGCCGGCCUCAUCACAGGAACGACCACCAACUGCAUAUCGUCGACCGCUGGAGCAGCGAACGACGAGUGCACGUGCACACAGCCCUUUCAAGAGCCGAGUACAGACUGUAGCGUUGCAUGGGAACCCGAAGGCUGAGAGUGGUGCAUUACGCUGGAAACUCUCUCACACGA